rnacentral:rRNA from 1 species
UUGCUCUUCAACGAGGAAUUCCUAGUAAGCGCGAGUCAUCAGCUCGCGUUGACUACGUCCCUGCCCUUUGUACACACCGCCCGUCGCUCCUACCGAUUGAAUGGUCCGGUGAAGUGUUCGGAUCGCGGCGACGUGGCGGUUCGCCGCCGGCGACGUCGCGAGAAGUUCACUGAACCUUAUCAUUUAGAGGAAGGAGAAGUCGUAACAAGGUUUCCGUAGGUGAACCUGCGGAAGGAUCAUUGUCGAAACCUGCCCAGCAGAGCGACCGGCGAACGUGUUUAUCAUAAGCGGGGGAGGGGGCGCUCCGGCGCCCGCGAGCCCGCGCCGGGGGGUGCAAGCCUUCUCGCCUCGGCGGGACGGGGAGCCCCUCCGGCACAACAACGAACCCCGGCGCGGUCUGCGCCAAGGAACAUGAAUACAAGCGUGCCCGCCCCUUCCCGGUUCGCCGGGUCGGGGCGUGGCACCAAGUCGUAUAAAACAUUAAACGACUCUCGGCAACGGAUAUCUCGGCUCUCGCAUCGAUGAAGAACGUAGCGAAAUGCGAUACUUGGUGUGAAUUGCAGAAUCCCGUGAACCAUCGAGUCUUUGAACGCAAGUUGCGCCCGAAGCCUUCUGGCCGAGGGCACGCCUGCCUGGGCGUCACGCAUCGCGUCUCCCCCAACCCGCCCACAGCGGGGCGGAGGAGGAGGAUGGCCUCCCAUGCCUCACCGGGCGUGGAUGGCCUAAAUAAGGAGCCCCCGGUUACGAACUGCCGCGGCGAUAGGUGGUAGACAGGGCCUUAAAAAUCCCAGGAUGCAUCGCGUCGCGCAGCACGUAGCUCCCGAGGCCUCGAAGGACCCCAAGUUGUCUCCCUUAACCGGGACGGCAAAACCGUUGCGACCCCAGGUCAGGCGGGGCUACCCGCUGAGUUUAAGCAUAUCAAUAAGCGGAGGA